CUGGCGGUGGCACUGCCCACCUGCGCUGCGCCCAGUGCGCCCCCGUGCGCUGGGCAUACCCCAGACCAGGGAGCGCUCAGGGCCCGCCGGGGACGCCGAGACCUAGCAGGGUCUACAGGGAGGCUAGAAAGAGGAGAGCGGAGGCCCCAGGACAUCCCUCCCCCGCCGCCACCUAAAUCAGACUCAGGCGGAGAGAAUUGACCGAGUCGGAGGAGGGGUAAACAGCCCUGCCCCUCGCUCCCACUGUCCCGCCAGAGAACGCGCCGCGGAAACCCCGAGGGCGGGUCAAGGGCCAGGUACCCGAGUGGGAGUGGACUCUCGUGCCGGGGUGGUAGGGGCUACCCUAGCGGUCCAGGGCCAGAGCCUGCACGCGGCGCCCCCACCCCCACCGCUGGGCUGAUCUUGGGUGUGUCAGAUCUUGCCCAAGCCUCACUUUCCUCCACGGUGGAGGUGAGAAUGAGGACGAGCCUGGAGCUGCGUGAACCCCGGCGCCCAGCAAGCUCUCAGGAAUCGCCGGCCUGUAGGUGGACGCAGAGCCUGAAAGUGAGGGGCCUGGGUCGUGCAUACGGAAAUAAAUAUGGGACUCUAAAUAAAGCGAGUUUCUGCAGGCAUUCAUUCAUUCAACAGAUGAACGCCUACGGUCUUCACCACCUCUUAAAAUCAGAAAUAAAGAAUGCCCCAGACUGUAGUUACUGGGCUCAAGAAAGUGUAAACUCUGAUGCUAAAAAUAAAAAAUUCAUCGGUUCCCCCCA
rnacentral:lncRNA from 10 species